rnacentral:RNase_P_RNA from 1 species
GGAGUUGGUCAAGACAACCGCGUCGCGGCUUGCCGCGCCGAGGAAAGUCCGGGCUCCAUAGAGCAAAGUGCCAGGUAACGCCUGGGCGGCGCAAGCCGACGGCCAGUGCAACAGAAAAUAUACCGCCGAACGGCCCGCAAGGGCGCGUGGUAAGGUUGAAAUGGUGGGGUAAGAGCCCACCGCCUGCGGGGCUAACGCCGCAGGGCAGGGUAAACCCCACUUGGAGCAAGGCCAAAUAGGCAUGCUAUGAAUCGGCUCGGUUCGCAUGCGGGUGUGCUGCUUGAGUCUUGCCGCGAGGCAAGGCCUAGAGGAAUGGUUGUCCACGACAGAACCCGGCUUAUCGACCAACUCCGCCA